rnacentral:rRNA from 1 species
UACGGAGGGUGCAAGCGUUGUUCGGAUUUACUGGGCGUAAAGGGCGUGUAGGCGGGGGCGCAAGCCGAAGGUGAAAUCCCCGGGCUUAACCCGGGAAGUGCUUUCGGAACUGCGUUUCUAGAGAAAGCUAGAGGCAGGUGGAAUUCCAGGUGUAGAGGUGAAAUUCGUAGAGAUCUGGAGGAACACCGGCGGCGAAGGCGACCUGCUGGGGCUUUUCUGACGCUGAGGCGCGAAAGCGUGGGUAGCAAACAGG